CUUGUCCCUCUGCAGCAGACAUAUGGCCUGAGAGGAAGGAACAGGGCGCUUGUCACACGAUAUUCAUGGCUUCCUACCAGAAGGACAGUCGACUACACCUUGAACAUCGCAGCAGGAUGUGCAUGGUUAUUUUUAGUGUCGGAAAGGGAGGCAGCAGGCUGGAGACUAAGCUGUCUGGGGCCUUUGGCGGACUCUCUCUCUCCACCAGAAGCCCGUGCCAUAUUGUGACCUUCAGCCAGAGCAGACUGAAUCAUCGACAGUGGGAACAGAUUGAGUGAGCAGAUGAGCCGUAUGUAGCCGGGCAGAGGGCAGGCCUGCGGAAUAGUACUCAAAUACCCCUGUGCCAAUCUGUACAACUGGCAUCAAAUGGACUGUUUCGCACCCAGGCCUUUAACCCCCUAAGGUUGAUGUCUGCGCCCCCAUGAAAAUCUAAUUAGUAUAAUACAAAAAAAUCACAAUAAAAAUCUGUCAGUUUAAGCUAGAGAUAUGUUUUGUUGCGUUGGACGUGUCUCAAUCCACCAUAUCCGCCUAUGUCGCACUUCCGCAUCUCCAGUGAAAGAUAACAGAUCUAGUGGUGUUUGUCAGUCCAUGAGACAUCACUACAAAUCUGUCUUCUCACAAAACCGUCUAUAGCAUCUGAACGCUUUGACCUACAAACAUGGUGUUCUCCGUUUUGCUCCACAAGUGUCAGGAGCCUCGUCUGAAGUCGGUAUAGCUGAUCUGCCAACUUCUGUCUGUAGCGUCCGAACCGUUUGGGCUACACACUAAAAUGACCCCUCUCUGCAAAGGUGAGACUCUCACAAACAUUUGCUCUAGGACGCCCACAGGCCUCACAAGACUCAACUGAAACACCUGUCCCCCGGGACCAGUUGAAAAUAUGAAUGGAAGUACAGUACCAGUCAAAAGUUUGGACCUACCUACUCAUUCUAGGGUUUUUCUUUAUUUUUACUAUUUUUUUUUUUUUGCCCACCCCUGGCAUAUAUGAAGACUGUUUAAUGCCAAAAAAUAUGGGUUUCUUUCAUAUAUAGGAGAGACACUUCAGAAUAUACUUCUAUUUUAUUUGUUUUUGGGACUGUUGUUCAAUGUAGUGAAUCUGUUAUUCAAUGUGUUUGUAUGGGC
ensembl:lncRNA